CUGAUCUCCUUAGUUACCUUCAGGGUUGAUUGGCACAAGGAGUGUGAAGCAAAACUGGCUCCUUGCCCUUCUGCAAGAUUACACCUCACCAACAAAACCCUGCAGACUUAGAACAUGACAGAUGAGCAGCAUGGAAUGUGGAAAAGUUAGCAGCUGCUGCUGAGGGGAAAGUACCAGCUUUGCAUGUUCAGAAAGCAUAUCAAGGAUGAAAGCUGUUCCUCCCUCCAGAAGCCACAG